GGAAACCUAGAGGGCGCGAUGACUUCAAGCUCUCGCAUAGUUUGAAAAGGCCAAAGGAUCAUGUCCCAUGGCUUCUCC
rnacentral:tRNA from 1 species